GUUCAAACAGUUGGCUUGUAGAGUAGCUGUCAGUCUUGGACAUGAGAGUUUUCACAGCAUUGCAAUCAGGAGCCUGGCCACCUGAUCAGGAGGAGGAAGUUGAUGAAGCGAACAUGAAAUAGUGAAGUUCAGGAUCUUACAUGGAAGAAACAGGUCAAUAAGUAGGACUGCAACCCUAGACUUCAGGAGAGCCAACUUUGACCUCUUCUUGGAGGUAUCCAAUGGGUUUGAGCAUUAAAAGAACAGCUUGCAGGAGUCCAGAGCUGCUGGCUGGCCUAUGGAGCAGACAUGAGUACUUUUGCUGAAGACUUUUCUUCUUUAUUGUCUUAAAUUUGGUACUCUGUAGAGUGAAAGACCCUUGCUACGGCUUAUUCCAGAAAGCAGAUACAAGAGCUGCAUAUGAACAAAGUCAUUUUGCUUCCCAAGAAUUUUAAAAAUAGGUUGUUCCAUUGCACAAUUUUACUUCUCCUAAUUAAACACUGAGCUUGAUAUUCCUCAUUAAGACAAAAGUU